UGGAAACGGCGACGGAAGGCGAGACAGGGCCGGGCUAUGGGCGUGAGGUUCUCCGGGAUGUCUGGGAUGUGUUCGGUGUGUCCAGACUGUGUCUGUGGUAUCGGGGUGGCGUCCGGAGCUCCAUCCUGCUGGGACAGCUCGGACUUCCCAGAGUAGACCACUGCUCGGCUGGGAAGACCUGCUGUUCAACUCCCUGACCUUCUGGGCACACGACGGCUGAACAUGAGCCCAGUUGUGCCCAGGUUUGAUCAGCUGAACACUGCCUUUGAGAGGUUUACAGGACAUCCUUCAAUGUCCUGAGUGUGCUUGGGCAGAAGUCAUGCUUUCUGUGGCAGAAAGAUGAGCAAGGCCAGGGAUGGGCAGUGGUACAAGAUGAAUGAUGCCUCAAGACUUCUCUCUGCCAAAAUACAUAUUUACUUUUCUAUGCCAGGAGAGAAUGGCGAUUUGUCCAGGUGAGUUCUUUCUGUCCUGCAGUUAACAGGCCAUGUCUUCUCCCUUGCUGUCUGGCACUGAACUGGGCUUGUGUAAAUUACCAGUUUCCUGGUCUCUGAGAAGGGCCAGCUGUGAAAAGAGGCAAAAUGGACAUCUGAGAGUAUAAAGAUGAGUCACUGCCUGAAAGGGCCAGACAUGGCUGGAAAAGUGUGAUCUAUUUUCCAAAGCCUUGUGCUGUUUCAGUCUUCUGCAUGUCAUGUCAAAUGUGCCAGAAAACGACAGGGCUGAAGCCUCAAGGAGACUGCAAGAAAUCAAGGAGGUGUAAAAAGCCCACACACACUGAGGAGAGGGAGAACUUGAAUAGAAGUCAGCCAGACAUUCUAUCCCCCAGGAAAUGCAGGGCACCCUCACCACCAGCUGGGAAAUGGCCAUGAAAACCUGCUCAGCUGUUCCCACAGGGACAGAAAGAGCUUCCUGAUGGCAGAAGUUCAGGGAAGGAUGGUGCAAGAAUGAAGAAAGGGAACUUUCUUCAUUCAUCAUCAAGAGAGGAGAACUAAAGAGUGGCAACAUUGCAACAGUUUCCUCACUCCUUGCCAAUCAUUUCAAGUGUAUAUGGCUUCUGUAUGGAUCUGUUCAGUACUGGUCACUAAGCUUCCCAGCAUAACCUGCCAGUGACCAUUAAAGGCUGCAGAUAUCUCAGAAGAAUGUUGACCAUUAAACCUGACAUUUAUGAUUCAAUUAAUAAAACCAUCAAACCAAA